GGCUGUUUAGUUUAAUGGUUAGAGCACUCAGCCAGUGUCUGAGGGGUACAAGUUCAAGUCUCAUAAUAACUU
rnacentral:tRNA from 1 species